AUCUUAAAUCUAGCUUAAAUAUAAAAAACUACCCCUUAAUACACAAAACAUUAUUUUAUGAUAGUACGGGCGACAGAAAACCUAUUAGCGCAAUAGAAAAAGUACUGUAAAGGAAAGAUGAAAUAAAAAUGAAAUAAAAUUAAAAUAUAAAAAAGCAAAGACUAAAACUUUUACCUUUAGCAUAAUGAUCUAGCCAGUCUAUAUUAACAAAAAGAAUUUUAGUUAUAUACCCCGAAACCAAACGAGCUACCCUAAGACAGCAACAUAUGAGCAAACUCUUCUCUGUAGCAAAAGAGUGAGAAGAGCUUUUGGUAGAGGCGAAAAACCUAACGAGCUUGGAUAUAGCUGGUUACUUGAGAAUGAAUUUUAGUUCAAUUAAAAGAAUAAAUAUUACAAAAACAAACGCUUUUAUUAUAAUUAACUGAGGUACAGCCCAGUUAAUAAAGGAAACAACCUA
rnacentral:rRNA from 1 species